rnacentral:tRNA from 1 species
ACGCCACGCGUUUUCAGUCCAGGCGACGCGGCUCGCCUCGAACACCCGGCGCAAGUCGGCGAUCAAGGGGGGGCAAU